UGCGCACAAAUGCACAUUUUCCCUGGUGCUAAAAGGAGUUUCCAGUCAGGUUCACGGUGACGGUGGGAAAGGAAGACGGGAUAUUUCAGCCCCGGAGUUUUGCUCAGUCGGUCUAUUUGCACAGACAGUCAACAAGAUGACUUAUUGAAAGACCUGGAAAACAUCACCAUGGACAUAUGUGUAAUCAAAAAGAAAGAAGGUGUUCUUGGCGACUAUGACGAUAUUGGAGUCGUUGUUGGAGUGAUGAUUCUAGAGCAGCUCAAAUCUGUGGCACAAGCCUGCAUUGAUGCUGGGUACAAUCUAUGUGCUUAAUUUGGCGUACCCCAAAAAGCUAAAAUACUACUUUUUUGAAAUUUUUUAAAAAUUCAUUAUGCAGAUGGAUUCUAAAGCUCUCCCCAAAAAUUCAAGGACUGAAAAAACGUUUUAAAGGUGCAGUGUGUAAUUUUUAUCGUCAUCUAGUGGUGAGGUUGCGAGUUGCAACCAACGGCUUAGUCCACGGCUCACUUCUCGCUUUUGAAACACAUAGAGAAGGACAAACAUGUCAUCGUUGGAGACAACUUAGCAAAAAAUUGUCCUUUAAGGGCUUCUGUAAAAAAAUGGCAGCACAAAAUGGCGACUUCCAUGUAAGGGGACCCUCGUAGUAUGUAGAUGAAAAGGUCUUGUUCUAAGGCAAUAAACACAUAACGGUUCAUUAUGAAAGGUGUUUAUACACCCGUGAUAAUAUAGUUUUGUAUGUUAUUUUGCAUUUCUGUCAAAAGAUCCUCUUAAAAAUUUCACACUGCACCUUUAAUACUGAAAUGUUGUAGCAGACAUGUAUGUGCAUGCUCUGCAUGAAAUGUUAGUCCAGAUGUCACAGUCUACUCUGUUUAUCAUUUAAGACCUGGGAAUCCGUAGUUUUAAACAUUUUAAUAAUGCUUUUAAUGAUUCAUAACUGUUGUCUGUAAAAAUGUAACACUUUUUUUUUUAAAUAAUUAUUGUGCAAUGUGUGAAGUCAGCACUACUGUUUUUGACUUUUGUGCUGUUUUAUUGAUUCACAAACAUUGUGGCCUCUUUCCAUCUGUGUUUUUUUUAUUUUAUAUUUUGUGAAUGUGCAGUGAGCACUUGUUUUAAACACUUGUACACACAAAGAAAUUGUUAUUGAACAUGCACUACAUUUGCUGAAUAACAUUAAACUUACCACUUGGUGUAUUUGCAAAGCCA